rnacentral:rRNA from 1 species
GACGAACGCUGGCGGCGUGCUUAACACAUGCAAGUCGAACGGAAAGGCCCUGCUUUUGUGGGGUGCUCGAGUGGCGAACGGGUGAGUAACACGUGAGUAACCUGCCCUUGACUUUGGGAUAACUUCAGGAAACUGGGGCUAAUACCGGAUAGGAGCUCCUGCUGCAUGGUGGGGGUUGGAAAGUUUCGGCGGUUGGGGAUGGACUCGCGGCUUAUCAGCUUGUUGGUGGGGUAGUGGCUUACCAAGGCUUUGACGGGUAGCCGGCCUGAGAGGGUGACCGGCCACAUUGGGACUAAGAUACGGCCCAGACUCCUACGGGAGGCAGCAGUGGGGAAUAUUGCACAAUGGGCGGAAGCCUGAUGCAGCAACGCCGCGUGCGUGAUGACGGCCUUCGGGUUGUAAACCGCUUUCGCCUGUGACGAAGCGUGAGUGACGGUAAUGGGUAAAGAAGCACCGGCUAACUACGUG